CCUGAACCCAUUUCCCAAAGUGUAGCUCUUUAAAGCACCAAAAAAGCCUUACGUGCAUUGUCUACAUAAAGAUUGCUUUUAAUCCUCAAAUGAAAGUUAUAUUUAAAAAAAAGAGAGAGACAAAUUCAGAGGCCCAGAGAUCCUGGAUCCUGGGAUCCAGGUUACACAUCUCAGAGUAACCUGGACCUUGACACCCACUAUGUAAAAUAAUAGAGGAAAUUAAAAAUGAGAAACUAGGAUCACAAACAACUUCUCUUGGGGAAAACAGAAAUGUAAGGACCUUUAAAAGGAAAAGGAACUGGUCCUUGAGUUUUAAAAACUUUGAAUGAGAUACACUAUUACUGAGAGCUUGUAUCUUUGCUUAA
rnacentral:lncRNA from 1 species